rnacentral:snRNA from 1 species
AUUUUUUGAGGGAUAUAUUGCU